CGGAUUCAGGGGCGACAUCUCCGAGUAGGCACGGCCCACCAGCUGAAGUUUGGGCGUGCGCCGCAUGGUUAUGGCGAUUACAAACGGUUAAUGGUUCACACAAAACUGGGCAUCUUCGGGAGGAAUCGGGUGAUUUAUACGAUCAACAUAUAUUAUAUUCAGUUUGUCUAGGCAAAUUAGCGAAUGCCGCGAUUGCAAUCUAUUUCAAAUAUUAUGGAAAACACAGCGAUUACGAUUAGAGGAGCGCACGCGGCGCGCUCUGCUGGAAAACUAAAUGGAAUUGGAAUUGGAGGCAAAAUCGCUGGCGCAGAAAGAGAAUCGUCAAUCGCUCUCCUGGCUCUCCUUUGUUUUAUUUUGCCUUAUUUUCUUUUUUUUUUUUUUUUUUUUUUUGAUAAAACCAAAAACAGUAACCCCAAAAACAGCGGUGUUUAUCAAACUAGGCGUGUGUGCCCAGUCCAGACACACACGUGAUGCGCGAAUGUGGGGCUGUCGCAAUGAAAACAAAGCGAAAAGCAAACGAACUACCAGAACUACCGAAGCAAUCGAUACCCUUGAUAAUUAAUAGGUCUGUCGAGGUUUUACCAGACAAGAACGCACUCAUGGCAAGGAAACUUAUUCAUUGCUACUCAUUGUUUAUGGAUAAGGAGAAGCACUAACAACAAUGAUCACAACUCAUUCUAAACAUCAUAAUUUAUGUACACAAUAAAAAGAUCCUCAAAUUUUAA
rnacentral:sRNA from 13 species